rnacentral:rRNA from 1 species
AGCGAACGCUGGCGGCAGGCUUAACACAUGCAAGUCGAACGCCCCGCAAGGGGAGUGGCAGACGGGUGAGUAACACGUGGGAACGUACCCUUUGGUUCGGAAUAACUUGGGGAAACUCAAGCUAAUACCGGAUAAGCCCUCAUGGGGAAAGGUUUACUGCCGAAGGAUCGGCCCGAGUCUGAUUAGCUAGUAGGUGAGGUAAUGGCUCACCAAGGCGACGAUCAGUAGCUGGUCUGAGAGGAUGAUCAGCCACACUGUGACUGAGACACGGCCCAGACUCCUACGGGAGGCAGCAGUGGGGAAUAUUGGAAAAUGGGGGCAACCCUGAUCGAGCCAUGCCGCGUGAGUGAUGAAGGCCUUAGGGUUGUAAAGCUCUUUUACCCGGGAAGAUAAUGACUGUACCGUGAGAAUAAGCCCCGGCUAAAUUCGUGCCAGCCGCCGCCGUAA